GACGAACGCUGGCGGCGUGCUUAACACAUGCAAGUCGAACGGGAACCUUUAUUUCGGUAAGGGUGAGAGUGGCAAACGGGUGAGUAACACGUAGGCAACCUGCCGACAGGAUGGGGACAACAUUCCGAAAAGAAUGCUAAUACCGAAUGGAGUCCGGGGAUGGCAUCAUCCCUGGAUAAAAGAUGGCCUCUGAAUAUGCUAUCGCCUGUCGAUGGGCCUGCGUCUGAUUAGCCAGUUGGCGGGGUAACGGCCCACCAAAGCGACGAUCAGUAGCCGGUCUAAGAGGAUGAACGGCCACAUUGGGACUGAGACACGGCCCAGACUCCUACGGGAGGCAGCAGUGGGGAAUCUUCCACAAUGGGCGAAAGCCUGAUGGAGCAACGCCGCGUGAGUGAAGAAGGUCUUCGGAUCGUAAAGCUCUGUUGCACGGGACGAAAACCGAGCUUGAGAAUAUUGAGUUUGGGGACGUACCGAGCGA
rnacentral:rRNA from 1 species